rnacentral:rRNA from 1 species
AUUGAACGCUGGCGGCAUGCUUUACACAUGCAAGUCGAGCGGCAGCGCGGGCUUCGGCCUGGCGGCGAGUGGCGAACGGGUGAGUAAUGCAUCGGAACGUGCCCAGUAGUGGGGGAUAGCCCGGCGAAAGCCGGAUUAAUACCGCAUACGACCUGAGGGUGAAAGCGGGGGACCGAAAGGCCUCGCGCUAUUGGAGCGGCCGAUGUCGGAUUAGCUAGUUGGUGGGGUAAAGGCUUACCAAGGCGACGAUCCGUAGCUGGUCUGAGAGGACGACCAGCCACACUGGGACUGAGACACGGCCCAGACUCCUACGGGAGGCAGCAGUGGGGAAUUUUGGACAAUGGGGGCAACCCUGAUCCAGCCAUGCCGCGUGCGAGAAGAAGGCCUUCGGGUUGUAAACCGCUUUUGUUCGGGAAGAAAUCCUCUGGGCUAAUACCCCGGGGGGAUGACGGUACCGGAAGAAUAAGCACCGGCUAACUACGUG